rnacentral:rRNA from 1 species
CCUACGGGCGGCAGCAGUGAGGAAUAUUGCUCAAUGGGCGAGAGCCUGACGCAGCGACGCCGCGUGAGGGAUGAAGGUCUUCGGAUCGUAAACCUCUGUCAGCAGGGAAGAACAGUCACUGUGCUAAUCAGCAGUGAAUUGACGUUACCUGCAAAGGACGCACAGGCUAACUCCGUGCCAGCAGCCGCGGUAAUACGGAGGGUGCGAGCGUUAAUCGGAAUUACUGGGCGUAAAGCGCUCGUAGACGGUAUGUCAAGUCAAGGGUGAAAUCCCCGCGCUCAACGUGUGAACUGCCUUUGAUACUGGCAACCUGGAGUGCGUGAGAGGAUAGUGGAAUUCGAGGUGUAGGAGUGAAAUGCGUAGAUAUCACGAAGAACACCGGUGGCGAAGGCGACUAUCUGGCACAUAACUGACGCUGAGGAGCGAAAGUGUGGGUAGCAAACAGGAUUAGAUACCCGAGUAGUC